rnacentral:rRNA from 1 species
AGCGAACGCUGGCGGCAGGCUUAACACAUGCAAGUCGAGCGGGCACCUUCGGGUGUCAGCGGCGGACGGGUGAGUAACGCGUGGGAACGUGCCUUCUGGUUCGGAAUAACUCAGGGAAACUUGAGCUAAUACCGGAUACGCCCUUUUGGGGAAAGGUUUACUGCCGGAAGAUCGGCCCGCGUCUGAUUAGCUAGUUGGUGGGGUAACGGCCUACCAAGGCGACGAUCAGUAGCUGGUCUGAGAGGAUGAUCAGCCACACUGGGACUGAGACACGGCCCAGACUCCUACGGGAGGCAGCAGUGGGGAAUAUUGGACAAUGGGGGCAACCCUGAUCCAGCCAUGCCGCGUGAGUGAUGAAGGCCUUAGGGUUGUAAAGCUCUUUUAUCCGGGACGAUAAUGACGGUACCGGAGGAAUAAGCCCCGGCUAACUUCGUGCCAGCCGCCGCAGUAA